rnacentral:rRNA from 1 species
UUGUAGAAUUAGAGUUCUGGAUUUUGUGAGGGCUAUUAAUAGUUUCCUUUUGCAUUAUGAAUUAAGGAUUUAUUCAAUUACUUUGUUUUACCGAAUGUGUAUGAUUUUUUUAAUAUUAGUUUUAGUACUUAAGCCCUGUGUAAGGUUUGUAUGAGAAUAUUAAAAGGGUUCUAUAAGAAAUCUCGUGUACACGUAUAACUGUUUGAAGAGGGUAUAGAAUGCUGGGUUGGACUCAGUAUUCAGUUUAUAUUUGAUAUAGAGAAAGUUUAAAAUUUGGUUAAAAGUACCCAUUUUUAUUUAAAGUUUUAUAACUUAAUUGAAAUUUUAAUUAAUGAUUAGGAUUGUAAUCUCUUCUUUGAUAAUAUUAUUUAGAUUAUCUUAGUAUAAGUAAUUUUAAAUUUAUUGUUAUUUUUAAUAUUUGUUACAACUGUUUAUUAAAAACAUUUCUAUAAUAAAAGAUUUAUAGUAAGGCCUGCCCUAUGUUAAUAAAUUAAUGGCUGCAGUAUUUUGACUGUACUAAGGUAGCAUAAUUAAUAGCCUUUUAAUUGGGGGAUUGUUUGAAUGGUUUAAUGUUAGCAAUAAAAUAACGUUUUAUUAAUUGAAAUUGUUGUUGUAGUGCAGAGGCUACAUAAUUUAAUAAGACGGAAAGACCCUAGGAUCUUUAUUUUUUCUUGGGGCAAGAUAUAUUAUUUUAUUAUGUUUUUGAACCUUGUGGAUUAUAGGUUAAGUUACCCUAGGGAUAACAGGGCAAUAAAAAAUGAGAGGUCUUAUCGAUUUUUUUGAUUGCUACCUCGAUGUUGACUUAAAAUUAAGCUUUGGUGUAGGAGUUAAAGCUUAAGGCCUGUUCGGCCUAAAAUUUUUCAUGAGUUGAGUUAAAACCGGCGUGAGCCAGGUUGGUUCUUAUCUAUUUUGGAUUGGUGUUAGUACGAAAGGAUUGCAUUAGUUUUAUUUU